GACGAGGGGGCAGGUGAUCACAGUGGUGGUACAGAAGGCAACAAAUAUGGAAUUCUGUUCACAGUGGGCAGCAUGAAAACUAUGAUGAUGGUAGUUACAAACAGCAAGAUGAUCUUUGCCAUGGACCCCGAGAAGAGAGAAAGGAGGUGAAACAGAAAAAUGAAGAACACGGACAGGGACAAUGUGUUGCUUCUCAUGGAGCAAACCCAGCCAGUGCUCUGAGGAACUUUGAUCUUCAAGAAUUCUGCCUCUCUGGCCAGCACCUGCCACGGGGCGUGUAUCCGGACAAAGAUGGAUCCCUGGCUUUUAUUCUGCAAGGUACAAAGAAAGAACAAAUGGAAACACUUGUAAGGACAUAGCUUAAAUUCCUGGUUCUUCAACUGUUCCACACAAGAAGCCCAACCCGUUGUUCUUCAGUUUCUCGUUUUCGUUCUCUUUAAAAUUCACCAGGGACCAGUCCCUUCCCACCUGUACCCAGUUCAUCAGUCUAUUCCAAACAUGUUCUCAUCGAAAACAGUAGGAUAGUGUUCCCAAAGUGUGGCCCCUGGAAGUUUGGUAGCUUCAGAGCAAAAAAACAAAAAACAAAAAAAAACAAAAAAAAAACAAAAAAACAAGUUAAAACAAUUUUGGUCACAGAUUUGAAAUAUAAGCAAUCAUGAUUUUCACGGAAAUCUCAUUACACUCUUAAUAACAAGUGGUUGGUUUUCCACUGCUCACACUCAGUGAAUAGCCUGCAACUUGUCUCCAUUCACACGUUUUCAUUGUUUAUUGUUCAAGUUUGUAUUUUUGUUCUACUGUCAUGCUGUUAUAGCCCCAAACCACAAAAGUGAUCUACUAGAGCCUAGAAGUAAUACUAUAAAUCAUAAUGACAAUGGUACAAUGCAGAAUAAUAUAAACAGGGCUCCUAUAUGAAUACAGAACAUGAAUCUAUGUCUCAGGAUAAGUGACUGUGUUGCGUGUUGAUUUCUCUCAAAACAUGAAAAAUAAGGACAGAAAAUGCAGUGAUAAGUAUUUGAAAGUCAGGUUUCAUUGACCCAGCAAUUCAUCUGGCCCUUGUCACCAUGACUGUUACAAAUAGGUGUCAGAUUAUGAGAGGAAGGCACCUCAUCUUCAAAUAAACAUUCACUUUUUUUUUUUUUUUCAAAACAAGCACGCACAGGGGAAAAAAUACUUUCCGUUAUGAAUUUAAUUAAUUUUGUCACUAAAGAACUAAAGAGGACCAAAACCAAGUAGGAAAAACUGGCAGAAGUCUCAUUAUUGGUGAGAAGUUUCUAAAACUACCUGCAAAAUUAAGCACAAGCAUUGUGUUUAAACUCCUUCACUGUGUUCAGAGAGAAGGAACGAGCUGAUAGCACAAUCCUUCAUUCCGCCCUCUGAUCUUGGUUUAGUGUUGAAGACUAUAUAGAAAAUCUUCAACUCACAGGCUCUGACUGUCUGCAUUUUCAGUGUGCCUGGCAGAGAGAUAGAUGGUAAAUAGAAGACUACGUCCCCCCACUGAAGAACACUGUCUAUGGAGGAGGUGCUCACAUGUGCUUUUGAAAUGAUGAACAAAAUAAAAAGAUAUUUUAUGGCACUUAUUAAUGCAAGUGAAAACUAUUUCUAUUAUUCUUCAAUGGCAGCUCCAAAAUAUGUUCAGUAAUUCAAACAUCCAGAACCAAACCUCACUUUGAGGAAGAAAGCUCAUGACUUACAAGGCAGAAAAAUGAAGAAUAAACCAAGAUUUCAAAAGGAGAUUGGACUAUGGUGUGAAAGCCUUGGGUAGUCUAGAGUUUGACAAUAUCUGAAAAUAACAAUUACCACAAUGCAUAUUUAUUGACUGUGUAUUAUGCGCCAGAACUGAGUUAGGUGGUCACGUGCAUUGGCUCACACAAUAUUUGCAACUAUGCUGUAAGGCCAGUACUACCACAAUCUCUAUUCCACAGCUGAGGAAACCAAGGCAGGGAAAAUGUAAAUGAUUUGCCCAAAGUUACACAGAUAGUGCAGUAAAGAUAGUGUUGAGACAUGACAUGGUCACUCAGGAUAAUUAAGAAACACACCCAAGGACUGUAACACGACACAAAGACAUGUUUUUAGGCUAAAAUCAAAUCCAAGGGUUGAUAAGGAACCUAUGUGGCAGCCCUAAAAUGAAACCUUCCCAAUCCCAAGUGUGACAUCAUUCUGACAAAAUACUGAAAGUGGCCUUCAGCAAGAAAUCUCCCCAAUUUUAUCUUUGGUUAUGCAGGACUGCUAGAUAGAAUCAUCAAUCACUUGCUGCUACUUCUAACUGUAAUUUAAGCUUUUCCAAUUAAGUGAAAAUAAAGGGCAAGAAAAGAAACCAUCUGUGGAGCUGACCUGCAAGCCCAGCUCUCCAUCACGGCCCCAGAAAUUAUGUUUUUGGUGAAAGAUGGCAAACAGCAUCAUCCCUCUCGCUAAGAGGAGAUCACAAGGAUUAUGAAUGUUAACACAUUACCCUUUGUCUUUAUUUUCAAACUGUGAUGAAUGCUGUUUUAACUUUCUUUAGGGUCGGUGGCUCAAGUGUGUAACAGAUGUCCAUUAAGUGGGUGCAGAUGUUCUAAGUUUGAGGUAGGGUUGGGAGGGCAAGGGUCAAAUUCCAAGAUCUUGGUGGCAGACUGCUAGCUGUCCCCUGACAGCUGUUCUCAUGUUCUUCAUUUUUAACAAAGCACGUGGCCAUCCAGCAUUAAGACCACAUCUCCCUUGCAAUGAGGUGUUUCCAUAAACAGUAUUUCUGGCCAAUGUCGCAAGGUGGAAGUAUCUGGUAACCUUCUUCAAAUACAGCAAGUAGGUGCUUUUUGCCCCGUCAUUUUCUUCCGUCCCCUUAACCCGCUGCCUGGAAGAUGGACACAGACAUUUUAGACCUUAAGGUUAAAGUCCGGGCCAGAAACAGCAAAGUGUCAAGAGAGAAGCUGGCUCUGGCUCUAGAGAGUGUCAUAGCAGCCCUGGGCUGCCUUUAGAUUUUUAUGUGAAAGAUAGAAUUCUACCUUGUUUAUCCAUGGUGAUUUUAGAGGCUCUAUCCAUUGCAGCCUAAUCUUACACUAACCAAUGCAAAAUCGUUUCCCAGUAUGGGGUUAACUUCCUCCAGCAAAGCAUGCAUCUCCACUCUCCUCAAAAGGAACUUGUUUAAAAUGAAAACAAAAGCAGGAAUGCAGUUUUGUGGAUCUAGUCAUGUUCCUUUCAUGCUGUGCAAUAUUGUUACCUUCUCAUAAAAAGGAAAACAUACCCACCAUUGUGAAAUAUUAGCUGAUGUGACUGGUUGUGUCUCCAAAGAAAAAAGUAACUCCUUGAAAGCUCCGGAGCACAACCAUCACCAAAUGAAUCCCCCAGGAAUCUAAACAUGAAGAUUAACAUGUAUUGACUUUAAAAUAAUUUUUUCCUUGUCCCCCAGGCCACUCUGACAUCCAUUCUGCCCUGCCUGUGGGUGUGGGUUCCUUUAGGCAUAGUAGGGGAGUGGAAGAGCUUGGAGCUUCCAAGUUAGACAGAACAAGAUCUGAAUCCUUAGUUAUUGUGAAUAGUCCUGCAAUAAACAUGGGGGUGCAGGUAUCCCCUUGAUAUAC